UACCGGUCGGCGACGCUACUGCUUUGGGUACUUUCAGGACCCGUCUUGAAACACGGACCAAGGAGUCUAACAUGCGCGCGAGUCAUUGGGAAUAACUCAAGCCCAAAGGCGCAAUGAAAGUGAAGGUCGGCCUCGCGCCGACCGAGGGAGGAUGGGCCGCGUUCUCGUGACGCGGUCCCGCACUCCCGGGGCGUCUCGUUCUCAUCGCGAGGAGAGGCGCACCCAGAGCGCACACGUU
rnacentral:rRNA from 1 species